rnacentral:ncRNA from 1 species
UCCGACAAAGGCAAACUCCUCGAAAGGGGGGGACGCAAAGCCACGGGCCUACCGGAGUCGUAGAGACUCCAAAGGCAGCCGGGCUGCCGAAG